rnacentral:antisense_RNA from 1 species
UGUUAUGGCGUGGUUAUUUGGGCGGCCCUGUGCCGGCCGCUCCUUAGCGCGGUAGUUCGAACCCACUUAACCACGUCGCCCAA